ensembl:lncRNA
UUCCGCUCUCCCGGCGCGGCCCAGGAGAAAACACCGCGUCCCGCCCCGCUGCUGCCGGGAGGAACAGUGAUGCGGUGGGCUCUGUUUGCACGACUUCGGUGAAAAACUGUCUGCGAUGAAAGUGCAGCCGUGGAGCGGAGCGGCGCGCAGAGCGCUCCGGGGGAAGCUCAGACUGCAGUCCGUGCGCUCUGUGCUGCUGCUGCAAAACCGCCGUGAGCGGCGGCACGAGGGGGGGCACUGACAGCACACCACGGUGACACCGCCCUGUGGGGCGGGGGGGGAUGGGGAUCCAGGGGUAUGGGGUUGGGUUUGGGGUCUGGGAGGUGAUGGGGAUCCAGGGGUAUGGGGUUGGGUUUGGGGUCUUGGAGGUGAUGGGGAUCCAGGGGUAUGGGGUUGGGUUUGGGGUCUGGGAGGUGAUGGGGAUCCAGGGAUAUGGGGUUGGGUUUGGGGUCUGGGAGGUGAUGGGGAUCCAGGGAUAUGGGGUUGGGUUUGGGGCCUGGGAGGUGAUGGGGAUCCAGGGAUAUGGGGUUAGGUUUGGGGUCUGGGAGGUGAUGGGGAUCCAGGGGUAUGGGGUUAGGUUUGGGGUCUGGGAGGUGAUGGGGAUCCAGGGAUAUGGGGUUGGGUUUGGCACUGGGAGGUGAUGGGGAUCCAGGGGUAUGGGGUUGGGUUUGGGGUCUGGGAGGUGAUGCUGAGCUGCGGGUGCUGGGGGAGCAGUCAGCCUCGCAUGGCCGCGUGGUGGGAUCUGUGCCGGAGCCCUAUUUGUAGUACAGCACACAAUGGGUGAUGGGCCGUCGGUGAUGAGCGACGGGAGAUGAGGGGGGGAUGAUGGGUUGUGGGAUGUCAGUGGGGUCAGUGGUUGGUGGUGGGUGGUGGGUGAUGGGCAGUGGGCAGCGGUGGGUGAUGGGGAAUGGGCAAUAGGUGCCGGGCAAUGGGAGAUGGGUGUUGGGCAAUGGGCGAUGGGCGAUGGGUGAUGGCACCCAGCGGGGGUCGGGGGUCCCAGGGCUCCUCACAUCCAUCCCCACUGCUUCAAAGGGACAGGACUGUGCCUGUGGGUGCGCGCUGCUGCCCCACACGGGGCUCAUUAACGGCUCGAUGGGGGAGAAGCGUGUCCCCGUGGCGUGGCGCCGAGGUGGGCUCCGUCCCAC